rnacentral:rRNA from 1 species
AACGAACGCUGGCGGCAGGCUUAACACAUGCAAGUCGAACGCCCCGCAAGGGGAGUGGCAGACGGGUGAGUAACGCGUGGGAAUCUACCCAGAUCUUCGGAACAACUGAGGGAAACUUCAGCUAAUACCGGAUACGCCCUACGGGGGAAAGAUUUAUCGGUUCUGGAUGAGCCCGCGUUGGAUUAGCUAGUUAGUGGGGUAAUGGCCUACCAAGGCGACGAUCCAUAGCUGGUCUGAGAGGAUGAUCAGCCACACUGGGACUGAGACACGGCCCAGACUCCUACGGGAGGCAGCAGUGGGGAAUAUUGGACAAUGGGCGAAAGCCUGAUCCAGCCAUGCCGCGUGAGUGAUGAAGGCCUUAGGGUUGUAAAGCUCUUUCAGUGGGGAAGAUAAUGACGGUACCCACAGAAGAAGCCCCAGCUAACUUCGUGCCAGCCGCCGCCGUAAUAC